rnacentral:rRNA from 1 species
UCCUACGGGAGGCAGCAGUAGGGAAUCUUGCGCAAUGGGCGAAAGCCUGACGCAGCCAUGCCGCGUGAAUGAUGAAGGUCUUAGGAUUGUAAAAUUCUUUCACCGGGGACGAUAAUGACGGUACCCGGAGAAGAAGCCCCGGCUAACUUCGUGCCAGCAGCCGCGGUAAUACGAAGGGGGCUAGCGUUGCUCGGAAUUACUGGGCGUAAAGGGCGCGUAGGCGGAUAGUUUAGUCAGAGGUAAAAGCCCAGGGCUCAACCUUGGAACUGCCUUUGAUACUGGCUAUCUUGAGUACGGGAGAGGUGUGUGGAACUCCGAGUGUAGAGGUGAAAUUCGUAGAUAUUCGGAAGAACACCAGUGGCGAAGGCGACACACUGGCCCGUUACUGACGCUGAGGCGCGAAAGCGUGGGGAGCAAACAGGAUUAGAUACCCUGGUAGUCCACGCCGUAAACGAUGAGUGCUAGUUGUCGGCGUGCAUGCAUGUCGGUGACGCAGCUAACGCAUUAAGCACUCCGCCUGGGGAGUACGGUCGCAAGAUUAAAACUCAAAUGAAUUGACGG